rfam:Cajanus cajan chromosome 8, whole genome shotgun sequence.
UAUCUGCUUUUUGGUAGCUUAUCUCAUCAGAAUUUCACAGUUAAACGUGCUUGACUUGAAGUAAUAUAAGGAUGGGUGACCUUUUGGGAAGUUUAAG